rnacentral:misc_RNA from 1 species
GACAGAGGGUGCAAACGUUGUUCGGAAUUACUGGGCGUAAAGCGCGUGUAGGCGGCUGCGUAAGUCGGGCGUGAAAGCCCACGGCUCAACCGUGGAAGAGCACUCGAAACUGCGUAGCUUGAGUCCUGGAGAGGAAGGUGGAAUACUCGGUGUAGAGGUGAAAUUCGUAGAUAUCGAGUGGAACACCGGUGGCGAAGGCGGCCUUCUGGACAGUGACUGACGCUGAGACGCGAAAGCGUGGGGAGCAAACAGG